CCCUGUCAUACGACCACCUCGUAAUACGACCACCCCGAUAAUACGACCACUUUUCAUUUCUCCGAACAACACCUAAGUACUCCGCGUUUCUCAUCUGAAAACGACCACCUUGUUAACACGGCCAACGACCACCUUUUGAUGUCCCUAUUUAAAAGCCUAGUUUCCAUUUGGUCGUUAGUUGUCGCUGGCACGACAAGCGGUAGAUGUGAAAUAGUCUAAUAUCAAUAGUCUUUUUGUGUGUUAUAUAUGCAAAUCAGUCUUAAUUAUUGCAGAGUUUUAUAAAGUUUUGUGACACUCUAUUACAUCAGCCACUUGUCGUGCCAGCGACAACUAACGACCAAAUGGAAACUAGGCUUAAUAGAGUGUCAACAAAACUUUAUAAAACUCUGCAAUCAUUAAGACUGAUUUGCAUAUAACACACAAAAAGAUUAUUAUUAUGUUAGACUAUUUCACAUCUACCGCUUGUCGUGCCAGCGACAACUAACGACCAAAUGGAAACUAGGCUUAAUAGAUUGUCAACAAAACUUUACAAAACUCUGCAAUCAUUAAGACUGAUUUGCAUAUAACACACAAAAAGAUUAUUAUUAUGUUAGACUAUUUCACAUCUACCGCUUGUCGUGCCAGCGACAACUAACGACCAAAUGGAAACUAGGCUUAAUAGAUUGUCAACAAAACUUUACAAAACUCUGCAAUCAUUAAGACUGAUUUGCAUAUAACACACAAAAAGAUUAUUAUUAUGUUAGACUAUUUCACAUCUACCGCUUGUCGUGCCAGCGACAACUAACGACCAAAUGGAAACUAGGCUUUAAAGGUCGUUUUCCACUUCAAACGUACCGUACAGUAACGUAUCAAAACAGAUUUUAAAUUUCAAUAUUUAGUGAAUAUUGAUUGGUUAAUACUUCCGUAGUACGCUCAAAGUUGACUUGCGACGAACUUUUUAUUUUGACACGCGAAUCAACCGGAAGUAACACCGCGGAAAAACGUCUGCGCAUGCGUCAACCUUACCUGUAAUAGUAUUGCGAACUUGAUGAGAAGCUGUUCCGAAGGCUCAAAAUGGCGGUAAAAUGGAGGGGCUUCCUUGCGCGUCUUUACAGCCAGAUUUCGAGCGCAAAAAUAGACAUGCAAUUCUAAAAACUAGGAAUAAAUACAGCCAGAAGGUUCAAGAAAUUGUAUUGUACAAGAACAUGAACUAAAGGUGAUUGUUGACAAAUUUAUCGUCUGAAACAUUUUGUUUAUCAACUAAGCAACGACAAUUUCCGAAUUUUCGUUUGAGAUACAUUUCUUUAAAAAAAACUGUGUCGCCAAAUAUAAAAAAUUUUCGUGUUCACAAUAAUUAAACUUUAGGAUUUAUUCUACAAUUUGAGUGGGUUAAGAAGCUUAACUUUUCGAGAGUUUUCUUAACUUUUUAGUUUGAAUUUUUGUCUUGAAUAAUUUUGCAAAAAUUUUCGAAGUCG